rnacentral:rRNA from 1 species
AUCUAUGGCCAUGCUACCCUGAACAAGCCCGAUCCCGUCUGAUCUCAGAAGCUAAACAGGGUCAGGCCUGGUUAGUACUUGGAUAGCAGAUCACCUAGGAAGACCAGGAGCUGUAGGCG